CAACCUGCCGCUUACUCGGGGAUAGCCUUUCGAAAGAAAGAUUAAUACCCGAUGGUAUAAAGAGUUCGCAUGUUCUCUUUAUUAAAGAAUUUCGGUAAGCGAUGGGGAUGCGUUCCAUUAGAUUGUUGGCGGGGUAACGGCCCACCAAGUCUACGAUGGAUAGGGGUUCUGAGAGGAAGGUCCCCCACAUCGGAACUGAGACACGGUCCAAACUCCUACGGGAGGCAGCAGUGAGGAAUAUUGGUCAAUGGACGAGAGUCUGAACCAGCCAAGUAGCGUGAAGGAUGACUGCCCUAUGGGUUGUAAACUUCUUUUAUAAGGGAAUAAAGUGAGGGACGUGUCCCUUUUUGUAUGUACCUUAUGAAUAAGGAUCGGCUAACUCCGUGCCAGCAGCCGCGGUAAUACGGAGGAUCCAAGCGUUAUCCGGAUUUAUUGGGUUUAAAGGGAGCGUAGGUUGACAUAUAAGUCAGCUGUGAAAGUUUACGGCUCAACCGUGAAAUUGCAGUUGAUACUGUAUGUCUUGAGUGUACAAGAGGUGGGCGGAAUUCGUGGUGUAGCGGUGAAAUGCUUAGAUAUCACGAAGAACUCCGAUUG
rnacentral:rRNA from 1 species